rnacentral:lncRNA from 1 species
GUGAGGUGGUCGAUAAUUUAAACACUUGACAGAAUAGCCAAGGUAAUAAGAUCCUUAAAGGGCUAGUGAAUUGUUAAAAAAAGAGAGAGGCAGAAAGAUCCAUAACCAAAACCAAAACAAAAGGAAACAGACAAAAGUCCUCACCCUGGGCUUCCCAGCCACAGAGCAAAGGGUCACCUACCUGGAAUAAGGUAGAGGGCAUUGUCAAAAUGCUCUACUUUGUGGGCCUGCCUACCUAUCUGGACUGCCUCUGUAUCUCAUUCUUUUGAGUUGAGGUACCUAAAGUGCAGCUGUAUGUUAACCUGGGGACACCUUGCUGUUGGCUGGCAUGAACACAACUGUCAUCCAGUUGUGUAGCUGCGCUGGAGGAACUGGACCACAAACCAGAUGCAGAAAUAGCAGCUCAGAGAGGCAACUGACCUGCCCACAGCCCCAGGAACCAGGUCUAGAGGGACCCUGCUGUAUCUUUGCCUGAGAGAUGGAGCUGUCUGUUACCGGCACAGCCUGAAGGGGAAGAAGACCAUGGAGCUGCCUCACCUGCUAACUCUUCUCGAUUGAACCAGCUCUCCACUUGGGAAUUUGACUGCAACAUGCCUUCUCAGGACACCAGGCAUCCUAGCCUUAAGGAGGGCACAGGUACAUUUUCCUAGGCCAAAUUAAUAUGGAUUUUGAAUUACCUUCUAUUGUUCAGAAAGAUCCUUUCUGCAUUGGUGGCUUUGACAUUUCCCAGGCUGCAAGAGCCAUGGAUCUACUCUGACAGCUGCGUUGGAGAAGGUUCUGAAAGUCUUCUUUACAUCCCUAACCAGACAGGUCAUCAGGAAACUCCUCCAACAAGCGCUGAC